rnacentral:lncRNA from 1 species
UUGAGUCGGGUUCAUGUAUUUUAUGUUCGGGUUCAGAUAUUUUGGGUCGGGUUAAGAAAUUUAAAUUUUGAAGAAAAAAUAAAUAUAUUAUUCAUUGUUUAAUUUUUUUGUAUUUAAAAUAUAUUUUAACAUAACUGGUUUUAUAAUUUUUAAAAGAUUAAACUAUUAAUAGAGCAACACCAUUGAAGCAAAAGUUACACUAUAAUAGAGUUACUUUAUUUUAGUGUAAAUUAUAGAGGGAAAAAUAGAGUCCCCUUGGAGAUGCUCUAAUAAGAACUUGAUAUCUUAGAUUUGAAUACUAACAUGUUAAUAUAGUUUGGGGAUGUUUUUCUUUUUUUAAAUUUUGAUUUUUAGAUAUGUAUAUAGAGUGAAACUAAUUUUUAGAGAUGUUCAUUUUUUUAAAU